rfam:TPA: Bos taurus chromosome 13, whole genome shotgun sequence.
UCCCCAGUGGCUCAAACGGUAAAGAAUCUACCUGCAAUGCAGGAGACCCAGGUUCAAUUCCUGGGUUUGGGAA